rnacentral:ncRNA from 2 species
ACCUUAUCAAGAGUGACGGAGGGAAUAGGCCCUGUGAAGUCCAGCAACCGGUACAAGGUAUACGGUGCUAAGUCCUACAGAAUAAUGUAUUCUGGAAGAUGAGGU